UGUACAGAAUAAAAAUAAUGAAAAGGAUGUA
rnacentral:piRNA from 1 species